UGUGUGUGUGUGUGUGUGUGUGUGUGUUUUAAUUUAGAGAUAAUAUCUCCCUGUGUAGCCCAGAACCCAGAAAAACCUCAAACUUGAUAGCUCACCUUCUAGACUCCAGAAUGACUACCUGGCAUCAUCUGUCUUCACCACAUGCAUGUACACAAUGCUCUUUUUUUUAUUUUUUUACUUUGUGUGUGAGUAUUCUGUCUUCAAGCAUGUAUUUUUUUUUAAAGAUUUAUUCAUUUAUUAUAUACAAGUACACUGUAGCUAUCUUCAGAUACACCAGAAGAGAGGGCAUCGGAUCUCUUUAUAGAUGGUUGUGAGCCACCAUGUGGUUGCUGGGAAUUGAACUCAGGCCCUCUGGAAGAGCAGUCGGGUGCUCUUAACCACUGAGCCGUCUCUCCAGCCCAUACACAAUGUUCUUAACCACUAAACUAUUUCUAUUGGGUCUUUUAUCUCAGCACUUGGGAAGCAGAGAUGUAAGUAUCAAGUUCAUGGCUCACCAGGUCUGCACUGAGUUCUAGACUACCUAGGGCCAAAAUAUAAACACUAUGGCUACAUUCAAUACAGUGCUUAAAUUGAUGGUGUGCUCUUCCAUAAGCAGGUGUAAGGCCAACUUAGUAUUUCAACCAAAUCAAACCAUAAACACCAAAAAGCAUUCCUUUAUACAAAAAAACAAACUACCAUUAACAAGCAUGAACACAAUAUUCUCAGGCCUAAGAAUAUAUUCUCACAUUGUUGGUCCCAUGAUUUACCGUGAA
rnacentral:lncRNA from 1 species